AUGCCAUGAUAAGGGCACACAAUGAUGUACUCUUGGAGGUGAUCCUAUGCCUCCGAGAUGGACUCAUUAGGAUGCUGCUGGAAGCUUGAAAUCUUGUUCCAAAGGGC
rnacentral:snoRNA from 1 species